rnacentral:rRNA from 1 species
UUCUAUUAGAAAUUAUUAAUAGUAAAAUCUGCUCCAUGUAUAAUAAAUAGCCGCAAUUUGUGCUAAGGUAGCAUAAUCAUUUGUCUUUUAAAUGAAGACUAGAACAAAAGAUUUAACAUUUUCAGUUUAUUUUCCUAAUUCAUCCAAUCAAAUUUAUCCUAAAUGUAAAAAGACAUUUAUAUAAAAGAAAGACGAUAAGACCCUAUUGAACUUAACUGUAGUUAAACUGGGGCAGUAAAUUAAUUAUCAUUUUAAUAAAAUUUACUUCACAAAUAUCUAGUAUAAUUAAAUAAUUCAGUUACCAUAGGGAUAACAGCGUAAUAAUCUUCUAAAGAUCUUAUUUAAAAUAUAGAUUACGACCUCGAUGUUGAAUUAAUAACCUAAUUAAGGCAAAACUUAAAAAAGGAAGUCUGUUCGACUUUUAAAAAAUUACAUGAUUUGAGUUCAGACCGGUGUAAGCCAGGUCGGUUUCUAUCUUCUAAAAAAUUUUUUACAGUACGAAAGGACCUAAAAAUAUAAUA